CAACAUGGCGGCUACCAGGAGAUACCGGCUUUCUACUAGUCUUGCUCAGCCCAUCCCGCAGGCAGCGUCGAUUUAACGUCAGAACGUUCCUCUGCGCGUCAUGGGUGUCAUGGGUGGCGGGCGCGGGAAGGGGAUUUGGAUUGUGGUGCUUCUGUGCUCUGGUGGGGAAGUGCCAUUUGGCCCCAACUCUCUGCGCCUGAGCAGCCCCUGGAGCCCAGUCUUUUGCUCUCAGCCACCUUCUCGAUCCCGCCAGUGCCUCAGAGCUGCAGCCCGGUCUCGAAUCCCUCAGUUCCUCAGCUAAUAGCUGCGAUGCAUGUGAUCAAGCGAGAUAGCCGCCAGGAGCGAGUCAUGUUGGACAAAAUUACAUCUCGAAUCCAAAAGCUUUGUUAUGGACUCAAUAUGGACUUUGUUGAUCCUGCUCAGAUUACCAUGAAAGUAAUCCAAGGCUUAUAUAGUGGGGUCACCACAGUAGAACUAGAUACUUUGGCUGUUGAAACAGCUGCAACCUUAACUACUAAGCACCCUGACUAUGCCAUCUUGGCAGCAAGGAUUGCUGUCUCUAACUUGCACAAAGAAACAAAGAAAGUAUUCAGUGAUGUGAUGGAAGACCUGUAUAAUUACAUAAACCCGCAUAAUGGCAAACACUCUCCCAUGGUGGCCAAGUCAACACUGGAUAUUGUUUUGGCCAAUAAAGAUCGCCUGAAUUCUUCUAUUAUCUAUGAUCGAGAUUUCUCUUAUAAUUACUUUGGCUUUAAGACACUAGAAUGUUCCUAUUUGUUGAAGAUAAAUAGUGGCUGAAAGACCACAGCAUAUGUUGAUGAGGGUCUCUGUAGGGAUUCACAAAGAAGACAUUGAUGCUGCAAUUGAAACAUAUAACCUUUCUGAGAGAUGGUUUACUCAUGCUUCUCCCACUCUCUUUAAUGCUGGCACCAACCGCCCACAACUUUCUAGCUGUUUCCUUCUGAGUAUGAAAGAUGACAGCAUUGAAGGCAUUUAUGAUACUCUAAAGCAGUGUGCAUUGAUUUCCAAGUCUGCUGGGGGAAUUGGUGUUGCUGUGAGUUGUAUUCGGGCUACUGGCAGCUACAUUGCUGGGACUAAUGGCAAUUACAAUGGCCUUGUACCAAUGCUGAGAGUAUAUAACAACACAGCUCGAUAUGUGGAUCAAGAUGGAAACAAGCGUCCUGGGGCCUUUGCUAUCUACUUGGAGCCUUGGCAUGAAGACAUCUUUGAGUUUCUUGAUUUAAAGAAGAACACAGGAAAGGAAGAACAGCUUGCCAGGGACCUUUUCUUUGCCCUUUGGAUUCCAGAUCUCUUCAUGAAACGAGUGGAGACUAAUCAGGACUGGUCUUUAAUGUGUCCAAAUGAGUGUCCUGGUCUGGAUGAGGUUUAGGGAGAGGAAUUGGAGAAGCUAUAUGAAAGGUUGCUGUCUGUAACCUGGCUUCCCUGGCCCUGAAUAUGUAUGUCACAUCAGAGCACACAUAUGACUUUAAGAAGUUGGCUGAAGUCACUAAAGUCAUUGUCCGAAACUUGAAUAAAAUUAUUGAUAUAAACUACUACCCUGUUCCAGAGGCAUGCUUAUCAAAUAAAUGCCAUCGCCUCAUUGGGAUUGGGGUACAAGGUCUGGCAGAUGCUUUUAUCCUGAUGAGAUAUCCUUUUGAGAGUGCAGAGGCACAAUUAUUGAAUAAGCAAAUCUUUGAAACUAUUUAUUAUGGAGCCCUGGAAGCCAGCUGUGACCUGGCCAAUGAGCAUGGCCCCUAUGAAACCUAUGAGGGCUCUCCAGUAAGCAAAGGAAUUCUUCAGUAUGAUAUGUGGAACAUUACUCCCACAGACCUAUGGGACUGGAAACUUCUCAAAGAGAAGAUUGCAAAGAUAAUAGAGAAUUGUGGGUGAUAUAUAUCUUGUUCUGACCACUUUCACAUCAUUGUUUCCUGAAGGGGCCUAGCACAGUGAUAAUACAGGCCCUUAGAAAAGAGUGACGGUUGGAUACAGGUAUGGUAUAAGAAACAGUUUACUUAUUGCCCCAAUGCCUACUGCUUCAACCACUCAGAUCCUGGGGAAUAAUGAGUCCAUUGAACCUUAUACCAGCA